rnacentral:rRNA from 1 species
AUUGCCUCAGUACGGCGAGUGAGCGGCAUCAGCUCAAAUUUGAAAUCUGGCCUUGCGGCCCGAGUUGUAAUUUGUAGAGAAUGCUUCGGGCGAGGUCCGGUCUAAGUUCCUUGGAACAGGACGUCAGAGAGGGUGAGAAUCCCGUACGCGUCUGGAUCCCUCAGCCCAUGUGAAGCUUCUUCGACGAGUCGAGUUGUUUGGGAAUGCAGCUCAAAAUGGGUGGUAGAUUUCAUCUAAAGCUAAAUACUGGCCAGAGACCGAUAGCGCACAAGUAGAGUGAUCGAAAGAUGAAAAGCACUUUGGAAAGAGAGUUAAACAGUACGUGAAAUUGUUGAAAGGGAAGCGCUUGCAACCAGACUUGCGUGCGGCCGAUCACCCGGCGUUCUCGCCGGUGCACUCGGCCGCGCUCAGGCCAGCAUCGGUUCUGGCGGCUGGAUAAAGGCUCCGGGAAUGUGGCUUCCUCCGGGGAGUGUUAUAGCCCGGGGUGCAAUGCAGCCCGCCGGGACCGAGGACCGCGCUUCGGCUAGGAUGCUGGCGUAAUGGUUGUAAGCGACCCGUCUUGACAACACCGGACCCCA